AUACCCUAGUGGUCAAGGCUAUGGAUCGCCAAUCCAGAGACCGCGGGUUCGAUUCCCGUU
rfam:Aedes albopictus isolate Foshan contig69166, whole genome shotgun sequence.